GCCUGGAUGAAACAAGAGCUGCCACCGUCGGCGUUUCUGACCACACUCAUCACUCUACCCUUCCGGAGCCCCCAUCCUGGGAGCCAGGCAAGUUUGGGCAGGGCGGAGGGAAGCUUCUGUCAGCACCCUCUCCAGCCGCCCCUCCCCCGCCCACUACCGCCAUCUUGGAAUUUAACAGCUCAACACAGGUCAAAAUACCGGCUUCUGACACUGACCUUUUCCCUUAACGGAAAUAUGUGUGGGUUAACCCGGGCUGAGAUCUGAGGAUGACCAGAUGGAAGCUCCAUCUGAAUCACGUGGCGGGCACAUCUCCCUUCUGCGUCCCCAGGAUCGUCUUUCGCGACACCCUUCUCCGCAGUCCUCGGUCCUCACGGGGUGGUCCCGAGCCCGGGACAAGGACUGGGCGUGAGGACUCUCGGACAGAACGGACCCCGGGACCCCGAGCCCCUGGGGACCAGGCCGGGAGGACGCGUCCAAGCUUCCUGGCUCCAGAAUCCACUGUCCUCCAUGGAGACAAAUGGCCAAGGAUAACUACCUGGAUUCGUUAUCUCCUCCUUGAAAGGAGAUACAGGCUGGUGGGAAAGCUGCUGACCAGCAAGGUCUCAGGCUCCCUCCUCUCUGCAAGUAGUCUCAAGGCCAAAGACAGGCUGGUGGGAAAGCUCCAACCAGCAAGGCCAUAGGC